ensembl:lncRNA
CUGAAGCUUCUCUGAUUGCUGAAGUUGUCGUUGUGUCUCCUGCUUUUGUGUCCUCAGUGGUUGUUGUUGUUGUUGUAAUAUUCUCACCUGUUUUAUCACCUGAGGGAGAAAACUGCAUCACUUUGUCUCCAUCGGUCACUUCACACGUCAAUGAAGUGAAGCUUGAUGUGUAAAAGAAGUGAGAAGUCAUGAAGGACAGAGAGGCGGAGCAGGAAUCCUGUGAUGUCUUCACUUCUUCUUUGUCUUUGUCCACAUCUUGACCACCAUUCAUCCACUUCACUGUGCGUGGACAUCGUUCAUACGUCCACACAGAGCAUCUUAACGUCAC